rnacentral:rRNA from 1 species
GAUGAACGCUGGCGGCGUGCUUAACACAUGCAAGUCGAACGAUGAAGCCCAGCUUGCUGGGUGGAUUAGUGGCGAACGGGUGAGUAACACGUGAGUAACCUGCCCUUAACUCUGGGAUAAGCCUGGGAAACUGGGUCUAAUACCGGAUAGGAGCGCCUACCGCAUGGUGGGUGUUGGAAAGAUUUAUCGGUUUUGGAUGGACUCGCGGCCUAUCAGCUUGUUGGUGAGGUAAUGGCUCACCAAGGCGACGACGGGUAGCCGGCCUGAGAGGGUGACCGGCCACACUGGGACUGAGACACGGCCCAGACUCCUACGGGAAGCAGCAGUGGGGAAUAUUGCACAAUGGGCGAAAGCCUGAUGCAGCGACGCCGCGUGAGGGAUGACGGCCUUCGGGUUGUAAACCUCUUUCAGUAGGGAAGAAGCGAAAGUGACGGUACCUGCAGAAGAAGCACCGGCUAACUACGUG